rnacentral:rRNA from 1 species
GAUGAACGCUGGCGGCGUGCUUAACACAUGCAAGUCGAACGGAAAGGCUCCUGCUUGCAGGGGUACUCGAGUGGCGAACGGGUGAGUAACACGUGGGUGAUCUGCCCUGCACUUCGGGAUAAGCCUGGGAAACUGGGUCUAAUACCGGAUAGGACGAUGGUUUGGAUGCCAUUGUGGAAAGUUUUUCGGUGUGGGAUGAGCUCGCGGCCUAUCAGCUUGUUGGUGGGGUAAUGGCCUACCAAGGCGUCGACGGGUAGCCGGCCUGAGAGGGUGUACGGCCACAUUGGGACUGAGAUACGGCCCAGACUCCUACGGGAGGCAGCAGUGGGGAAUAUUGCACAAUGGGCGCAAGCCUGAUGCAGCGACGCCGCGUGGGUGAUGACGGCCUUCGGGUGGUAAACUCCUUUCGUCAGGGACGAAGCGAAAGUGACGGUACCUGGAUAAGAAGCACCGGCUAACUACGU